AACGAACGCUGGCGGCAGGCCUAACACAUGCAAGUCGAGCGAGGACUUCGGUUCUAGCGGCGGACGGGUGAGUAACGCGUGGGAAUGUGCCCUUCUCUACGGAAUAGCCCUGGGAAACUGGGAGUAAUACCGUAUACGCCCUAUUGGGGAAGGAUUUAUCGGAGAAGGAUCAGCCCGCGUUGGAUUAGGUAGUUGGUGGGGUAAUGGCCUACCAAGCCGACGAUCCAUAGCUGGUUUGAGAGGAUGAUCAGCCACACUGGGACUGAGACACGGCCCAGACUCCUACGGGAGGCAGCAGUGGGGAAUCUUAGACAAUGGGGGCAACCCUGAUCUAGCCAUGCCGCGUGAGUGAUGAAGGCCUUAGGGUUGUAAAGCUCUUUCAGCUGGGAAGAUAAUGACGGUACCAGCAGAAGAAGCCCCGGCUAACUCCGUG
rnacentral:rRNA from 1 species